GGUGAUAGCCACACCAUCCUGAAUGUGAGAUGUCUUCUGAUCUCAGAAGCUAAGCAGGGUUGGGCUUAGCUCGGAUAAGAGAACAGUGUUGAUUCUUACCCUGUGGGAUUUCUAGAGCUCUGUAAAUC
rnacentral:rRNA from 1 species